rnacentral:rRNA from 1 species
GAUGAACGCUGGCGGCGUGCCUAAUACAUGCAAGUCGAGCGAACGGACGAGAAGCUUGCUUCUCUGAUGUUAGCGGCGGACGGGAGAGUAACACGUGGAUAACCUACCUAUAAGACUGGGAUAACUUCGGGAAACCGUAGCUAAUACCGGAUAAUAUUUUGAACCGCAUGGUUCAAAAGUGAAAGACGGUCUUGCUGUCACUUAUAGAUGGAUCCGCGCUGCAUUAGCUAGUUGGUAAGGUAACGGCUUACCAAGGCAACGAUGCAUAGCCGACCUGAGAGGGUGAUCGGCCACACCGGAACUGAGACACGGUCCAGACUCCUACGGGAGGCAGCAGUAGGGAAUCUUCCGCAAUGGGCGAAAGCCUGACGGAGCAACGCCGCGUGAGUGAUGAAGGUCUUCGGAUCGUAAAACUCUGUUAUUAGGGAAGAACAUAUGUGUAAGUAACUGUGCACAUCUUGACGGUACCUAAUCAGAAAGCCACGGCUAACUACGUG